rnacentral:rRNA from 1 species
ACGCUCGACACCUACGAGAGGCAGCAGUGGGGAAUAUUGCACAAUGGGGGAAACCCUGAUGCAGCGACGCCGCGUGAGCGAAGAAGUAUUUCGGUAUGUAAAGCUCUAUCAGCAGGGAAGAAGAAAGACGGUACCUGACUAAGAAGCCCCGGCUAACUACGUGCCAACAGCCGCGGUAAUCUGAGCGGGCUGGCAAGGC